AACAAAAUGCUGGGCUGAAAUUUGCUAAAUAUAGAAGGUAUUUUAUAAAAGUGAGCCUUAUAAGGAGUUGCAUUCAAUCAGCAUGCUGUGACUUGGGCACUCUUUGCUUGUUGAAAAGAAAAAAUCAUAGAAAUUAAGACCACGGAAAUUUAACUAGUGUCCACAAGGUGAGAAAUUUUACAGUAAAUAAUUACCGGCAGGACAAGGUUUGGGAAGACCACUACAGUAGCACGGUUGAAAACUCUUUUCCAAUCAUUCACAAGCUCAAUUUGCCCAUUUACAGUGUAUUGUCUUGAACGAACAGCAAGAGUUCUUUCAUGGAUGGUCCAUAUAAGAGGUAUGGACUUGAAAGGCUCCUGCAUAAAACAAGAAAAAACAACCUUGGUUUCCAAUGAGUUCACAAGUAUGCCAUCAUAAAUUAGCCAAUCAACAGCAAUUUCCGUCUUGUGCUUGCUCUGGAAAAUGGUGACUGGGACUCCUAUGCUCUUCCAUAUAUCAUGUGCAGGACCAUCUUCAAGUGAAAAAACCUGGGUAGUAUAACCAAUCUCCUGCAAUGCGGUUGCAACAGUCACCAUCAGCAGCUGCUGUGGAUCCACUAACAGAUCCGCAAACACCAAUGCGAGCUGGGGUUUCCUAUACCCGAAACGAUGUUGUGUUCUAUUGAAACUAGAUGACGGAUCGACUUCUCUAGCUUCCUUUUGAAAUUUCUCCAUAAGCUUUGAAGGCUCGAGUUUGAUGUCUUCUCCAAAAUCUAAAGUGCCCAUAUCCUUCAAAUACAACAAAUCCCCAUAAACCAUGUCCAGCUGUUUCCUCCAAUCCUGUGAUUUCUCAAUCACAGAACCAGGCAAAAACGUCUGGAAAAGAAAAACAAAGAAGAGAAAUACAGCCACUGUGCAAAUCCAUUGCAGGUAAUCUAGCUUCUUGGAAAGCAAGAAACGGGAAAAUCUCGAUCUGGGUCUGAGCAAAAAGGGAUAUCUCUCGCUUCUACUAGCUGAAGAAGAGCGAAGAAGACUCUCCCUCUUCAACGGAAGAGCAGACUCCAGAGAACCCAUUGUCCCAUCAACUAGCACCAAAUCGAGUACAAUUACAUGCAGAUAACAUGAAAAAGAAAAGCGAAAACAACGUCACACCCACGAACAAAGUAGUCUCGCUCACUCUCAGUGAUGUCUCAAUUGAAGUGAAAAGGAAUAGCAGAGAGUAAAUUCAAGAUGCUUGUGAGUUGAGGAAUAGGUAUAGAGAGAGAGAGAGAGAGAGUGGUGGGUAAUUGAAUGCGCAGGGUGGGCGUUGGAUUUGGUCGGCAAAAGAAGAGUGAGAAAAUGGAGUUUGAGAGAGUGGAGGGAAAAGUGGGGAAG
rnacentral:misc_RNA from 1 species